AUUGAACGCUGGCGGCAGGCCUAACACAUGCAAGUCGAGCGGAGCGGCGGACGGGUGAGUAAUGCCUAGGAAUCUGCCUGGUAGUGGGGGAUAACGUCCGGAAACGGGCGCUAAUACGGCAUACUAUCAGAUGAGCCUAGGUCGGAUUAGCUAGUUGGUGGGGUAAAGGCCUACCAAGGCGACGAUCCGUAACUGGUCUGAGAGGAUGAUCAGUCACACUGGAACUGAGAAACGGUCCAGACUUCUGCGCGAGGAAGCAGUGGGGAAUAUUGGACAAUGGGCGAAAGCCUGAUCCAGCCAAGCCGCGUGUGUGAAGAAGGUCUUCGGAUUGUAAAGCAAUGUAAGUUGGGAGACGUUACCAAAAGAAUAAGCACCGGCUAACUUCGUGCCAGCCGCCGCGGUAAUUC
rnacentral:rRNA from 1 species